rnacentral:tRNA from 1 species
AUUUAUAUAGUUUAAUUUUAAAACAUUAUAUUUUCAUUAUAAAAAUACUUUACUUAAAAUUUAUAAAUA